UACGGAGGGUGCGAGCGUUGUCCGGAAUCACUGGGCGUAAAGCGCACGUAGGCGGAUCGUUAAGUCGGGGGUGAAAUCCUGGAGCUCAACUCCAGAACUGCCUUCGAUACUGGCGAUCUUGAGUCCGGAAGAGGUGAGUGGAACUCCUAGUGUAGAGGUGGAAUUCGUAGAUAUUAGGAAGAACACCAGUGGCGAAGGCGGCUCACUGGUCCGGUACUGACGCUGAGGUGCGAAAGCGUGGGUAGCAAACAGG
rnacentral:rRNA from 1 species